CACUGUUUUUCACCUUCACUUCCUCUCCCUCGCCUCUUUGUUUCUCUCUCCUCCCUAUAAGACAGACAGAGAGAGAGAGGGGACUCAAAAGGGUGCGCCAAACGCCUCAACAUGAGCACACCACUGACCACUCUCCUCUCUCUCUCUAAACACACUCAAUAAUACAGAUCCUAAUCUCCGACCAUCCCUCUCCUUUCUCUCCCUCUUAUGUAACCCAAAUCCAUCCCCCCCCUCCAGAUUUUCAGGAAUUAAAUGGGGAAAAAGGUUAAGAAGAAGGCCCGUAGUGUUCAUAAGGAGAAGCAGCCUUCUACCCUUUCUACAAAAACUGUUGCCCAUCCCCAGCAAAGCAUUACAAGCACUGCGGCUGUUGAUGAUGUCAUAAAAGAGAGGAAGCUAUGUUCUCAUCUUGAUCAGGUCAUUGAUUUGGUCAAAGUUUCUUCAAGAUUAGAAUCUCAAGAACGUAUUAGGUGCGAAGAUUGUAGGGAAGUUGUGGUUGAUAGGCGGUCAAGUAAGGGGAAGGGCAAUCAAGGGAAGAAGAAAGGGGGAGGUUCUGGUGAUACUAAAUCCAGUUCCAAAGCAAUGUGGGUAUGUUUGGAUUGUGGCCAUAUUUCAUGUGGAGGGAUUGGACUCCCGAACACCCCUCAAAGCCAUGCAGUUCGACAUGCAAGGCAAACCCGACAUCCAUGGGCAAUUCAAUUUGAAAACCCUCAGUUACGGUGGUGCUUCCAGUGCAAUACACUCAUUCCAGUUGAAACUUUGGAUGAAAAUGGUGAAAAGAAAGAUUUGUUGUUAGGUGUUGUCAAACUGAUAAAGGGGCAAUCAUCUCAAGGGCCCUCUGAGGAUGUUGAGGAUGGUUGGUCAGGGAGUGGAAGCGUUGCAAGUGGGAUAAAAUCGGCAAACACCGCUUCAGCUAGUUUUGAUGGGAAAUAUGGUAAUGUGGUCAGAGGCUUGGUAAAUCUCGGUAAUACUUGUUUCUUCAAUUCAAUCAUGCAGAAUCUCUUGGCAAUGGAUAGAUUACGGGACUAUUUCUUAGAACUUGAUGAGUCUGUGGGGUCGCUUACUGUUUCUUUGAAGAAGUUCUUCUUAGAAGCCAGUCCGGAGUCUGGCUUGAAAAAUUCCAUGAAUCCAAGGUCCUUUUUUGGGUGUCUGUGUGCCAAGGCUCCCCAAUUUCGGGGGUAUCAACAGCACGACAGUCACGAAUUGCUUCGUUGUUUACUUGAUGGAUUGUGUACAGAGGAGUUGAGCGCAAGAAAACAGACCGUAUCAUGGGAAAAUGGGAAUUCCAAAACCCUCGGUCCUACUUUUGUUGAUGCAGCCUUUGGGGGCCAACUAUCUAGUACUGUUUCUUGUUUGGAGUGUGGGCAUUCUUCAACAGUGUUUGAGCCGUUUCUAGAUCUCUCACUUCCAGUUCCAACUAAGAAACCCCCUUCUAAAAGGGCCCCACCUGUUCCUCGAGCUAAGAAGCCAAAACUGCCUCCAAAAAGAAGUGGAAGGAUUCGCCCGAAAACUAAUAGGGAUGCAGAUUCUGUCACAGAAAAAGUGGGAGAUUCUUUGGUGGUUCCUAAAACGAUGGAAUUCACUGGCCCACCUACAGUGGAAGAUAAAAAGUGUUUAGUCUCAUCUAGUCUCUCAACCGCUGAAGAUUUAGAGAAGAAGCCGUUUAUGGAUGAGGAUUCGUUAGACAACUUUUCAUGGUUUGAUUAUCUGGAAUCAGUUCCUGUUUCGAAUGAUCAGGACAUAGCUUCAAAAGCUAAUGAUAUCGCAAUGAUUUAUGAUUCAGGACAAAACAAUGCUGCUCAAGGUGAAGCCUCCCUGAAGGAAACAGGCACAGCAGAUUCAUUGGGCGACCUAACAUGGUUGGAUUACCUUGAGCCAGGUGCUUUACCUGAUGACAAUGACAUUGGUUCAAAUGUUGAUGAUGUAUCCGUAGUCCAAGAUUCUGGAAGCAAGGACGCUCUUCCAAAUGAUAUAUUUUUGCUUCCAUUACAGGUUCAAGUCUCCGAGGACCUGGUGUUUCCUCAGAAAGAAGAAACUUCGAUUAGUGGUGAGAUUUUGAGAGGAGAAGGCGAGGCCUCCUCGUCAGUUGUUGGCUAUGAACCAGAUGCAUCGGACUUUGAUGGUUUUGGAGGCUUAUUUAAUGAGCCAGAAAUUGUUGAAGGCCCCAAUUUAAAAUCCUUGUCUAUUGAUACUAACAUUCAGGGUAAUGAAAUUGCAGAAACUGGUUUCUUAGUUGCAAAUAUCAGUGAGUCUGAUCCAGAUGAAGUCGACAAUAGUGACUCCCCAGUGUCAAUAGAGAGUUGUUUGGCAUUGUUUACUAAGCCAGAGCUUCUUUCUGAUGAACAUGCUUGGCAUUGUGAGAAUUGUUCGAAAGCUGUGCAAAAGCAAAGGAUGCAAUCAAGGAAGAGUAAGCAGAAUGGUGCAUCAGAGAUUCAGAUGAGAGGGGCAGACAAUAGAAUUCAAAGUGCUCCAUCAAAUUCGACAAAUGAAGGCCCCUUCCCUAAUGACGGAGAUAUUAGAGAAACUGUAUUUAGUACGUCUAAUGAAGCGGUAGUGUCAGAAAAUGGUAAAAUUAAUGAUAACCAAAACGAGAAGGAGUUCAGUGAGGAAGCUGGGUUGAUUUUAUCAAUUUCCCAGUUAAAAGAAGGAAGUAGUGACAUGAAUGAUGCAUGUCCAGAGCUAUCACAGUCUUCAAGUUCUUAUAAGACUUGUACUCAAGCAAGUAUCAGUGGUGAAGCUAGUGGUUCUUGCAGUGUUAAUGAUCCUAGUAAUGCUGGAUGUGACACUGGUGAGGUUCAGCAAAUGAAGUCUCAGUUGUUGCCUAAAGGGUCUGAAUCAGAAAGAAGUGACAAUGAGGAGAUGAAUUCUGAUAGCUUGAAGGUGAAGAGGGAUGCAACUAAAAGAAUUCUCAUUAAUAGGGCACCACCUAUUUUGACCAUCCAUCUAAAGAGAUUCAGUCAAGAUGCUCGUGGUCGUUUGAGCAAAUUGAAUGGUCAUGUGGUUUUCGGAGAGACAAUUGAUCUCAGACCAUACUUGGAUCCCAGGUGUUCUUCUGACCCUUGCUUGGGCGUAUUGUUGCUAUUAGUUUCGCAACUUCAUCAGUCCCUUAUCGUUUACUCUUUCUUUCAUUUUUCGAUUUCUCUCUUCCGUGUCAUUUCUACUUACUCAGCAAACUGCUUUCUCUCAGCUUUUAUGUUCGGAAUUUUAUGCUUGUUUAAUGGACUUUGUUGUUGCAGUUUCUAGUAGACAAAUUUUGUUUCAUUCUGGUAUCCUCCUUGUUAAUGCUUCCUACCAGUUUUAGGUGUAUUUAUAUAGAUUCUCUUAUCUAUUGCAGAGAACUGUUGCACUUAUUUUAGUACAUGUUUAUUUUCUCUUCUCUUCCACAAAACCUAUUGUAUGGUUGUAAAUGUUUUCUUGCGUGCUUGUUCUUCUUCUUGUCACAUCUGCAUUUAGGCUAUUAUGCCAGACUAUCAAAGAAACCCGCCAAAGACAGAAGAACCGGUGUGUUGUACAGAUGUAGCCUUCCCAGGAAGCAGGAAAUUGUUUAUUGGCUCCUUUACCUACUCAUAUUCUAAUGAUAUAGAAUGAUAAUGAGCAUGAAUUAUUUGCUUGAGCAUUUUCCUCAUCUAUAAUUGGUGUUUUUUUAAAUAUUAUACACUUUGUCUAAAGUUACUUUGAAAUUGGGUUCUUAGCCAGGUUUAUCCUUGCACGGUGUACCUGUGUGGAAUACUGCUACUAGUGUUUUAGUAGGUAUAUCUACAAUACCCGUAAUGAUAUAGUUCAUGUGAAAGGCUGAAAGCUGAUAGACGGUUCAGACUUAGACAUCACACCCUCGAAUAGGGCAAAAGAAUAGAGCCCACUCUUCAUACCUUCUGAAGUAUAAUAUGUGUACUUGUGUUGCCUUGGACUUAAGGAAAACAUAUUGUGUUUAGGAGGGCCACUGUUUCAAUGGUAUUCUCAGAGCAGCCACUUUGUGCAUAUAUUGCCAAAGGUUAGGUCUAUCUCCAAUCAUCCCCCGCCCAUACCCCCAAUGAUUGGGGACUAGAUGGGUUAUGUUAUGUUGUUGUUGUUGUUGUUGUUGUAUAAACGAAGUAAAAAAGUAUCACAUGUUUUAUGUUGUACUAGUCCUACGCACUGGAUUAGAAAAAGAAAUAAAGUUGCGAGUGCUGAAUAUACCACACUUCUUUUUCUGGUCAAGUCUAACUCUACUUUCUAUUUGGUUAGUAGUUUGAGCCCCACUACUAGCUUGGUGCGCUGAAGUAUAAAAAUGCAUAUUGAUGGGUCAUCUGAGUCAACCCCAGAGACAUUUUGGAAAUAUUUCAGAAACAUGAUGGAGACCUAGAAAAGAAAUGGAGACAUAGGGAAACAUUGGGGGCGAAAAAACCUGUUAUACGUGUGCAUGGGUUAAGGCUUACAAAUCACCAACUAGAUAUGUUUCUGUAGUUCUAUGAGUAAAUUUUUGCAUGUUUGAUUAUAUAUGACUUCAUGGCCUAAUGGAAAGGCGCUAGUUCAGAGAACUAGAGAUUUUGGGUUCGAUUCCUAGUGAAGUUCUCGGCUGCAUGCUUUUCUAAGUUAUGUUUCAGGUUUUGCUAGUAGGUAGUAACAAAGACAAAAUUACAUCUGAACUUAAGUUGAGUCUUCAGACUUUUUUCACUUCUUUCUGAACAUGCCAUUAGUAACAUGUCAAGUCUUAACUUAAGGAGCUCUCACUGCUGUCGACCCAUGAGGGGGACACAGUAGUAGAUCGAGCAGGAGGUGAUGCCAACUCGGAUUUUACUUUCUUUUGGCAGACAUAUAUGAACAAGAGAGAGAAACAAGAGUAUGGAAAGAACCUACCUGGUGAGACGUGAAGAUAGAGUGAGCGAGAGGUGAUGCCAUUCUCGCUAGUGUUGUC